CCCCUCUCAGGGUCACACCUGGAGAGUUUCCAGUCCUCUACCAGUCUCAGCUACGGGAGGGAGAGUCAAGCAGAGGCCUACCCAUUCCAUUCCUAGCUUGGCUAGUGGCUGGCGAGUGGAAGGCAAUCGGCUUCAUGU